rnacentral:rRNA from 1 species
CCUACGGGUGGCUGCAGUGGGGAAUAUUGGGCAAUGGGCGCAAGUCUGACCCAGCAAUGCCGCGUGAAGGAAGAAGGCUCUCGGGUUGUUAACUUCUUUUGUUAGGGAAGAGUAGAAGACGGUACCUGUCGAAUAAGCCACGGCUAACUACGUGCCAGCAGCCGCGGUAAUACGUAGGUUGCAAGCGUUGUCCGGAUUUACUGGGUGUAAAGGGCGUGUAGCCGGGUUGACAAGUCAGAUGUGAAAUCCUGCGGCUUAACCGCAGAACUGCAUUUGAAACUGUUGAUCUUGAGUACUGGUGAGGCAGACGGAAUGCCUAGUGUAGCGGUGAAAUGCGUAGAGAUUAGGAAGAACACCAGUGGCGAAGGCGGUCUGCUGAACAGCAACUGACGGUGAGGCGCGAAAGCGUGGGGAGCAAACAGGAUUAGAUACCCUUGUAGUC